rnacentral:lncRNA from 1 species
GAGACAUCUCUACCAACUUCUUUGAAGGGAAUGGAUCUUGUGAUGAUCAGCCUGAUGUUGAAGAACAUCAGCAACCACAUAAGAGGAAGAAAUAUUGCCGCCAUACCUAAUCUCAAAUCACCUGAGUUUGAGAAGUAAUUAAUUCAAAAACUUCCCCUUGUCCAUUUUUGUUUAAUUUGCUUAUUGUGAACGGAAUAAUAAUUUUGCCGUUUUUCAACUUGGAAAUCUCAGGUUCGUAUCUCGAAGAAUGCACUCCUCAUUUCUCUCUUGUAAUUAACACUAUAUUUUUUUGUUGGCUCUUCUUUCUUACUUAUUUACUUAUGUUUUGGUUUGAUUUAGGUCCGAACCGUUGAUUUAAGGGUUUGGGAAUUGACUCGAUUGGACCACGGUAUUUGUUGGUGAUGUUGACUUUUGUAUUUUGAAGUCUUGUGUUUAUUAACUUUUGAAUAA